GACGAACGCUGGCGGCGUGCUUAACACAUGCAAGUCGAACGGAAAGGCCCUGCUUUUGUGGGGUGCUCGAGUGGCGAACGGGUGAGUAACACGUGAGUAACCUGCCCUCGACUUUGGGAUAACUUCAGGAAACUGGGGCUAAUACCGGAUAGGAGCUCCUGCUGCAUGGUGGGGGUUGGAAAGUUUCGGCGGUUGGGGAUGGUCUCGCGGCUUAUCAGCUUGUUGGUGGGGUAGUGGCUUACCAAGGCUUUGACGGGUCGCCGGCCUGAGAGGGUGACCGGCCACAUUGGGACUGAGAUACGGCCCAGACUCCUACGGGAGGCAGCAGUGGGGAAUAUUGCACAAUGGGCGGAAGCCUGAUGCAGCAACGCCGCGUGCGGGAUGACGGCCUUCGGGUUGUAAACCGCUUUCGCCUGUGACGAAGCGUGAGUGACGGUAAUGGGUAAAGAAGCACCGGCUAACUACGUG
rnacentral:rRNA from 1 species